AAUAUUGCACAAUGGGGGAAACCCUGAUGCAGCGACGCCGCGUGAGUGAGGAAGGCCUUCGGGUCGUAAAGCUCUUUCCUAAGGGAAGAAACGGACGGUACCCCAGGAGGAAGCGCCGGCGAACAACGUGUCCGCAGCCGCGGUAAUACGUACGGGGCGAGCGUUAUCCGGAAUUACUGGGCGUAAAGGGUGCGUAGGCGGCCUUUUAAGUCAGAUGUGAAAGGCUACGGCUUAACCGUAGUUAGCAUUUGAAACUAAAAGGCUUGAGUGCAGGAGAGGAGAGUGGAAUUCCUAGUGUAGCGGUGAAAUGCGUAGAUAUUAGGAGGAACACCAGUGGCGAAGGCGACUCUCUGGACUGCAACUGACGCUGAGGCACGAAAGCGUGGGGAGCGAAC
rnacentral:rRNA from 1 species